rnacentral:rRNA from 1 species
CAUUGCAGCCUGAUCUCCUUAGAACACGCCAAUCUAAGCAAGGCUGGGCCCGGUCAGUACUGGGAUGGAGACUUCUAAGGAAAACCUGGUUGCUGUUGUAC